rnacentral:rRNA from 1 species
UACGUCGUGAGACAGUAUGGUUUCUAUCUUCUAGGGGGAAUUAGAAUAAAAUAAGAACGAACUUUUGUACGCAAGGAACAAGAAGAAUUUGACCCGUAAAAAGGUUAAAUUAUGGUUACUAACCUCUGGUUUACCUGUUGUUUAUGUGCCCAAUAUUAAAUAUAUAUACUAAGUAUAUAUAUAUGUAUUUUUAUACAUGGGAUGUUUCUUUCACUAAGAUAAAUGUAUAGCAUAAGCACGGCAGGAACGCUAAGUUGGUUAAGGAUAAGUGCUGAAAGCAUAUAGGCACGAAGCUUAUCUUAAGAUAUUUCUUAAAUAUACGUAAUAUAAUAUUACGAAACUAUAGGCUUUAUCCGUACGAAUCUAGAGAUUUUCAAGAAUAAAGUACUAAUUUAAUAAUUUACUAUGUAUA